rnacentral:misc_RNA from 1 species
GAAACGCGAUAGUUAAUGUGAAUUGCAGAAUUCAGUGAAUCAUCGAGUCUUUGAACGCACAUUGCGCCCAUAGGUAUUCCUUUGGGCAUGUCUGUUUGAGCGUCAUUACAACCCUCAGCUAACCGCUGGUUUUGAACCUGAACGGGUGACACCGCGCCGGUUUUAAAGUUGUAAGCUCUGCUGGCCGCUCUGCCCAACCAGAACAUAGUAAGCACUACUUGUCCGGGUGAAGCUGAACGGUACGGCCUGAACAAAACCUACCCACUCUCAAGGUUUGACCUCAGAUCAGACAAGGAUACCCGCUGAGCUUAGGC